CCCACAGAUGCUGGACGGUACCACCAUUUCCUGCAGGAAGGAGCGAAGGGAGAGGGCACAUGUGCAUAUUAAAAUCAGUUGCUGCAGGGAACAUCAGAAGGAAACCAGGGCAGUUCAAGCCUUCAUUUGCUGCACGCAGACAUUCCACAGGGAUUGAGGACAGGCGCGGGCCCUGGGUUAUGGAAGGCUUGGUCCUAGGACCAGGGCCAGGGUGCUGGAGGACACCCACUCCCUUUACCUCCAAGGACUCAUGGUGUCUGGUUGCAGUUGGCCCCUCCUGAAGAAAUAGGGAGUCCUGUUCUUGGACAGCCCUCAGAUGCAGGCACAUCUGUGUUGGCAGUUUCUGCUGAAAGGAACUGGCAUUUUUCAAGAUGAGACAAACUGAAAAG
rnacentral:lncRNA from 1 species